AAUAUUUCUAUGGAGUGGGGAGAUAAGCAUAUCAGUGUAUUUAAUUAGGAUCAAGUGUUUCAUCCAAGAUUUUGUAAAGCAUUAUCAAACAAUAAAAUAGUACAUUAUUCUUUUUUAAACUUAUGAUAAUUGUUAACUUUGAUUAUUUGCUCCUUUUCUCUUCAUGUCAGCUGAUACGUGGGAUUCAAAGAAGGACAAUACAGUUCUCUAUCUGUUGUGUGCUGCCUUGGCUUUAAGUCUGCUUGUGAUUGCUUUUGUCAUUUUUUCAAACAAGAAAUUCGAGCAAGAAUCAUGCGUGUAUUGUAACGGUAAGCAAAGUCACUCAUACAUCAAUGUGUCAAACAGUGGAUGGCAAAACUGGAUUCACAUUUAUAUUGUGUUUUUAUGUCACAAUACAGCUGCUGUUGCUCAGCAAACAAAUGCAGCAGCCAGUGGGAUUCAGGAGAAUCUGCAGACAGAUGAGGACUCUUUGGUUUAUUCUGUUGCAACUUUCAUCAGUAAAAAAAGCUACUAAAACACAGACAAGGGAGACAAAACCUACAAAGGAGGAGAGCAUCUACACUGAUGUCAAGACUCUUGGAGUAACAUCUUGACACUGGGUUAGCUUUACUAUGAUUUUGUCUGCACACUGUAGAAAAAGUACUUUUUAAUCUUUUGAAUAAAAACAGUUUUACAUAUCUGUUUGACAUUUUAUUUACAUGCAAAGAAAAAGAUUCAUGAUGCAACAUAGUUGAAUCAGUUUAGAUGUUGCAGUAGACAGAAGUACAACAGAUCCUAUAACUAUGAGGAACUUUUGUCUAAGGUGUACAUUGUGAGAAUAUUUUCCUAAAUAUCUUUAUGUACAGUUUAUGUAUAUGUGUGUAUUUCUUCAUGACUCACAUCUAUAUCUCACAGCCAUGUCAAGGCAAUGAAAUAAAAGGAAACGAUGGCUCUGUA